AUUGAACGCUGGCGGCAUGCUUUACACAUGCAAGUCGGACGGCAGCGGGGUAGUGCUUGCACUACUGCCGGCGAGUGGCGAACGGGUGAGUAAUAUAUUGGAACGUACCGAGUAAUGGGGGAUAACCAAUCGAAAGAUUGGCUAAUACCGCAUACGCUCUGAGGAGGAAAGCAGGGGACCUUCGGGCCUUGCGUUAUUCGAGCGGCCAAUAUCUGAUUAGCUAGUUGGUGGGGUAAGGGCCUACCAAGGCGACGAUCAGUAGCGGGUCUGAGAGGAUGAUCCGCCACACUGGGACUGAGGCACGGCCCAGACUCCUACGGGAGGCAGCAGUGGGGAAUUUUGGACAAAGGGCGCAAGCCUGAUCCAGCCAUGCCGCGUGUCUGAAGAAGGCCUUCGGGUUGUAAAGGACUUUUGUUAGGGAAGAAAAAGGAGCGGUUAAUACCCGUUUCUGCUGACGGUACCUAAAGAAUAAGCACCGGCUAACUACGUG
rnacentral:rRNA from 1 species